GUUGAACGCUGGCGGCAGGCCUAACACAUGCAAGUCGAGCGGAUGAAGGGAGCUUGCUCCUGGAUUCAGCGGCGGACGGGUGAGUAAUGCCUAGGAAUCUGCCUGGUAGUGGGGGAUAACGUCCGGAAACGGGCGCUAAUACCGCAUACGUCCUGAGGGAGAAAGUGGGGGAUCUUCGGACCUCACGCUAUCAGAUGAGCCUAGGUCGGAUUAGCUAGUUGGUGGGGUAAAGGCCUACCAAGGCGACGAUCCGUAACUGGUCUGAGAGGAUGAUCAGUCACACUGGAACUGAGACACGGUCCAGACUCCUACGGGAGGCAGCAGUGGGGAAUAUUGGACAAUGGGCGAAAGCCUGAUCCAGCCAUGCCGCGUGUGUGAAGAAGGUCUUCGGAUUGUAAAGCACUUUAAGUUGGGAGGAAGGGCAGUAAGUUAAUACCUUGCUGUUUGGACGUUACCAACAGAAUAAGCACCGGCUAACUUCGU
rnacentral:rRNA from 1 species